AGUGAACGCUGGCGGUAGGCCUAACACAUGCAAGUCGAACGGCAGCACAGUAAGAGCUUGCUCUUACGGGUGGCGAGUGGCGGACGGGUGAGGAAUACAUCGGAAUCUACUUUUUCGUGGGGGAUAACGUAGGGAAACUUACGCUAAUACCGCAUACGACCUACGGGUGAAAGCAGGGGAUCUUCGGACCUUGCGCGAUUGAAUGAGCCGAUGUCGGAUUAGCUAGUUGGCGGGGUAAAGGCCCACCAAGGCGACGAUCCGUAGCUGGUCUGAGAGGAUGAGCAGCCACACUGGAACUGAGACACGGUCCAGACUCCUAAGGGAGGCAGCAGUGGGGAAUAUUGGACAAUGGGCGCAAGCCUGAUCCAGCCAUACCGCGUGGGUGAAGAAGGCCUUCGGGUUGUAAAGCCCUUUUGUUGGGAAAGAAAGGCAGCAGGUUAAUACCCCGCUGUUCUGACGGUACCCAAAGAAUAAGCACCGGCUAACUUCGUG
rnacentral:rRNA from 1 species